rnacentral:rRNA from 1 species
GAUGAACGCUAGCGGCAGGCCUAACACAUGCAAGUCGAGGGGUAACUAGAGUGAUAGCAAUAUUACUUUGGCUAGACCGGCGCACGGGUGCGUAACACGUAUGCAACCUACCUCAUACUGGGGAAUAACUUCGAGAAAUCGGCGCUAAUACCCCAUAACAUUGCGAAGAGGCAUCUCUUUGCAAUUAAAGCUCCGGCGGUAUAAGAUGGGCAUGCGUCCAAUUAGCUAGUUGGUGAGGUAACGGCUCACCAAGGCUACGAUUGGUAGGGGUUCUGAGAGGAUGAUCCCCCACACUGGUACUGAGACACGGACCAGACUCCUACGGGAGGCAGCAGUGAGGAAUAUUGCGCAAUGGACGAAAGUCUGACGCAGCCAUACCGCGUGCAGGAUGACGGCCCUAUGGGUUGUAAACUGCUUUUGUACGGGAAUAAACCCUUCUACGUGUAGGAGGCUGAAGGUACCGUAAGAAUAAGCACCAGCUAACUCCGUGCCAGCCGCCGCGGUAAUAC